GAUGAACGCUAGCUACAGGCUUAACACAUGCAAGUCGAGGGAUCGGCGCACGGGUGAGUAACACGUAUCCAACCUACCCAUUACUCGGGGAUAGCCUUUCGAAAGAAAGAUUAAUACCUGACGCAAAGGAUGGGGAUGCGUUCCAUUAGGUUGUGGGUGAGGUAACGGCUCACCAAGCCUUCGAUGUCUAGGGGUUCUGAGAGGAAGGUACACUAGAUUGGAACUGGGACACGGUCCCGACUCCUACGAGAGGCAGCGGUGUGGAGUAUUGGUGAAUGAGCGUUAGCCUGAACCAGCCAAGUAGCGUGAAGGUUGAUGGCUUGUAAGUCGUCAGCUUCUUUUAAAUAAGAAUCGGUAUUUAAUGAAUAAGGAUCGGCUAACUACGUGCCAGCAGCCGCGGUAAUAC
rnacentral:rRNA from 1 species